rnacentral:rRNA from 1 species
UACGGAGGUGGCAAGCGUUGUUCGGAAUUACUGGGCGUAAAGGGCGCGUAGGCGGCGGUGCAAGUCAGAUGUGAAAGCCCCGGGCUCAACUCGGGAAUUGCAUCUGAAACUGUGCUGCUUGAGUUCUGGAGGGGGUAGUGGAAUUCCCAGUGUAGCGGUGAAAUGCGUAGAUAUUGGGAGGAACACCUGCGGCGAAGGCGGCUACCUGGACAGUGACUGACGCUGAGGCGCGAAAGCUAGGGGAG